rnacentral:rRNA from 1 species
AGGAUUAACGCUGGCGGCGUGCCUAACACAUGCAAGUCGAACGAGGUAGCAAUACCUAGUGGCAGACGGGUGAGUAACGCGUGGUCAACCUACCGUUGAGUGGGGGAUAACUAGCCGAAAGGUUAGCUAAUACCGCAUACGAGUCCCGGGGGGAUCCCUGGGCCUUAAAAGGAGCAAUCCGCUCGAUGACGGGACCGCGUCCCAUUAGCUAGAUGGUGGGGUAAUGGCCUACCAUGGCUCCGAUGGGUAGCUGGUUUGAGAGAGCGACCAGCCACACUGGGACUGAGAAACGGCCCAGACUCCUACGGGAGGCAGCAGUGAGGAAUUUUCCGCAAUGGGCGAAAGCCUGACGGAGCGACGCCGCGUGUGGGAAGAAGGCCUUCGGGUCGUAAACCACUGUCGAAGGGGACGAUAAUGACGGUACCCUUGGAGGAAGCCCCGGCUAACUACGUGCCAGCAGCCGC